CAUGCAGGCGGUCGGACGCGUUUCCAGUGACAGCGGGUGGCUUACCUACCCGAGUAUUGGAAAGACGGUUUGACUUGAGGACUCGAGAGGGACACGGAAUUCCGGGUGGAGUGGUGAAAUGCGUAGAGAUCCGGAGGAACAUCGAAGGCGAAGGCAGUGUCCUGGCGAGUGACUGACGCUGAGGUGCGAAAGCCAGGGGAGCGAACGGGAUUAGAUACCCCGGUAGUCCUGGCCGUAAACGAUGACCACCAGGUGUGGGAGGUAUCGACCCCUUCUGUGCCGGAGGAAACCCACUAAGUGGUCCGCCUGGGGAGUACGGUCGCAAGAUUAAA
rnacentral:rRNA from 1 species